rnacentral:lncRNA from 1 species
GAAGGAAGAGGGGGCAGUUGAUGGAUGAAUUCUGAGAAGGAGAUUCCACCUGAACAGAUUGGCUAAGUGUCUUGACAGAAGGGAAUCUGACUCUUGGCUCCACUACCAACUGCAUGAGGCUUCAGCCCCUCAGUUUCUUUAGUUUACAAAGAAGGCUACAUCUUUCCUGGCCUGGAAGUAAAACGAGGGUGUCUAUGCAGUCUUGGUGAACUGUGAAGAGAUGCUCACAGGGAUGGCUCUCUGGCAUCCUUCCGGUGAGUUUUCUUGCUCCCUCCAUUACUUUCCUGCUUCCUGAGUCUCUUCUUGAGCGGUAUGACUGUAGUUUAAAUGUUAGGCCAGGGAGCCCAGGAAAUCUAGUUCCCAGCAAGAAUUACAAACCUUCACCUCCUAAGUGAGAGACUACGUGAGCAGUGACUCAGAGCAGCGGGAGGAGCAGCCAGCCCAGACAG